rnacentral:misc_RNA from 1 species
UCUCCGUAGGUGAACCUGCGGAGGGAUCAUUACUGAGUUCAUGCCCUAACGGGUAGAUCUCCCACCCUAUGUUAUCAUCACUUUGUUGCUUUGGCGGGCCGUCAGGCCUCGGCUUGGCUACCGGCUCUCGCUGGUAAGCGCCCGCCAGAGAACCCCAAACCCUGAAUAUCAGUGUCGUCUGAGUACUAUAUAAUAGUUAAAACUUUCAACAACGGAUCUCUUGGUUCUG